GUAGGGAAUCUUCCACAAUGGACGAAAGUCUGAUGGAGCAACGCCGCGUGAACGAUGAAGGCUUUCGGGUCGUAAAGUUCUGUUGUAAGGGAAGAACAAGUGCCGCAGGCAAUGGCGGCACCUUGACGGUACCUUGCGAGAAAGCCACGGCUAACUACGUGCCAGCAGCCGCGGUAAUACGUAGGUGGCAAGCGUUGUCCGGAAUUAUUGGGCGUAAAGCGCGCGCAGGCGGCCUCUUAAGUCUGAUGUGAAAGCCCCCGGCUCAACCGGGGAGGGCCAUUGGAAACUGGGAGGCUUGAGUAUAGGAGAGAAGAGUGGAAUUCCACGUGUAGCGGUGAAAUGCGUAGAGAUGUGGAGGAACACCAGUGGCGAAGGCGACUCUUUGGCCUAUAACUGACGCUGAGGCGCGAAAGCGUGGGGAGCAAACAGGAUUAGAAACCCUUGUAGUCC
rnacentral:rRNA from 1 species